UUCACGGAGAGUUUGAUCCUGGCUCAGGACGAACGCUGGCGGCGUGCUUAACACAUGCAAGUCGAACGAUGAAGCCUUUCGGGGUGGAUUAGUGGCGAACGGGUGAGUAACACGUGGGCAAUCUGCCCUGCACUCUGGGACAAGCCCUGGAAACGGGGUCUAAUACCGGAUAUUACCUGCCGAGGCAUCUUGGCGGGUGGAAAG
rnacentral:rRNA from 1 species